CCACGUUGACAACUAUCGUCAGCAGCUGAUAAUGAGCCCGGCUGACAGCUCCGCCUAAGAAGUUAGCCGCUGUUAGACCCCCUAUGAGUUGGUAGGGAGCAGUAGCUUCUCCACAAGCGGCUUGUGAGCCUGUAUGCAGCAGCUGCUGCAGCAGAAGCUUCGAAACAGCUCCAAACAGUUUCAUAUUGGGUGCACCCAGCUGCAGCUCAUUCAUCUCUCAACAAUAUUUGCCUCAAAACAUGCUACAUCAUAGGUCACAUGCACUAUCCACCUUAACACCUUCUGGUAGUCAUGCCUAGUAUUAGUCCUCUAUCGCUGUUAGUUAACACUACAAGACAUUGCUGCAGCAGCA
rnacentral:lncRNA from 1 species